rnacentral:rRNA from 1 species
GUUACCUUCGGGUAAUGAGGAUGGCGGACGGGUGAGUAACGCGUAAGGAACUUGCCUCUUGGACUGGGACAACUGUUGGAAACGACAGCUAAUACCGGAUAUUAUGAGAUUCUCGCAUGAGAAACUUAUGAAAGCUAUAUGCGCCAAGAGAGAGCCUUGCGUUCCAUUAGCUAGUUGGUGGGGUAACGGCCCACCAAGGCGACGAUGGAUAGCCGGCCUGAGAGGGUGAACGGCCACAAGGGGACUGAGACACGGCCCUUACUCCUACGGGAGGCAGCAGUGGGGAAUAUUGGACAAUGGGCCACAAGCCUGAUCCAGCAAUUCUGUGUGCACGAUGAAGGUCUUCGGAUUGUAAAGUGCUUUCAGUUGGGAAGAAGAAAGUGACGGUACCAACAGAAGAAGCGACGGCUAAAUACGUGCCAGCAGCCGCGGUAAUACGUAUGUCGCAAGCGUUAUCCGGAUUUAUUGGGCGUAAAGCGCGUCUAGGCGGAAAAAUAAGUCUGAUGUUAAAAUGCGGGGCUCAACUCCGUAUUGCGUUGGAAACUGUUUUUCUAGAGUACUGGAGAGGUGGGCGGAACUACAAGUGUAGAGGUGAAAUUCGUAGAUAUUUGUA